rnacentral:misc_RNA from 1 species
AAGUCGUAACAAGGUUUCCGCCUCACCGGGAGUGCGUUUUGUCCAAACAUUUUACAACAAACCACAUUUCAUUAAACUCUUGACUGAGACAAUACAGGUCACGCCUAAAAACGUUGAUCUCAAAAACCUAACCAUUACAACUUUUAACAACGGAUAUCUUGGCUCGC